rnacentral:tRNA from 1 species
GCCUGGGUGGCUCAGUUGGUUGAGCAUCUGACUUCAGCUUGGGUCAUAAUCUCAUAGUCUGUGGGUUUGAGUCCCAUGUCAGGCU